rnacentral:rRNA from 1 species
GACGAACGCUGGCGGCGUGCCUAAUACAUGCAAGUCGAGCGGAACUGGGGGAGCUUGCUCCUUCCAGUUUAGCAGCGGACGGGUGAGUAACACGUGGGCAACCUGCCCUGCAGAUCGGGAUAACUCCGGGAAACCGGUGCUAAUACCGAAUAGUUUGGCGCCUCUCCUGAGGCGCUACGGAAAGACGGUUUCGGCUGUCACUGCAGGAUGGGCCCGCGGCGCAUUAGCUAGUGGGUGGGGUAACGGCCCACCAAGGCGACGAUGCGUAGCCGACCUGAGAGGGUGACCGGCCACACUGGGACUGAGACACGGCCCAGACUCCUACGGGAGGCAGCAGUAGGGAAUCUUCCGCAAUGGACGCAAGUCUGACGGGGCAACGCCGCGUGAGUGACGAAGGUUUUCGGAUCGUAAAACUCUGUUGUGAGGGAAGAACACGUACCAACUAACUAUUGGUACCUUGACGGUACCUCACCAGAAAGCCACGGCUAACUACGUGCCAGCCGCCGCCGUAA